rnacentral:rRNA from 1 species
ACGGGUGAGUAAUGCAUAGCUUACCUGCCCCAUAGACGGGAAUAGCCACUGGAAACGGUGAUUAAUACCCGAUACUCCCUACGGGGGAAAUGCUUUUGCGCUAUGGGAUGGGGCUAUGUCCUAUCAGCUUGUUGGUGAGGUAAAAGCUCACCAAGGCUAUGACGGGUAGCUGGUCUGAGAGGAUGAUCAGCCACACUGGAACUGAGACACGGUCCAGACUCCUACGGGAGGCAGCAGUGGGGAAUAUUGCGCAAUGGGGGCAACCCUGACGCAGCAACGCCGCGUGGAGGAUGACGCAUUUCGGUGUGUAAACUCCUUUUAACAAGGAAGAUAAUGACGGUACUUGUUGAAUAAGCACCGGCUAACUCCGUGCCAGCAGCCGCGGUAAUACGGAGGGUGCAAGCGUUACUCGGAAUCACUGGGCGUAAAGCGCAUGUAGGCGGACUUACAAGUCAGGUGUGAAAUCCUAUGGCUCAACCAUAGAACAGCACUUGAAACUGUAAGUCUAGAGUUCGGGAGAGGCAGAUGGAAUUUCCGGUGUAGGGGUAAAAUCCGUAGAGAUCGGAAGGAAUACCUAUUGCGAAGGCGAUCUGCUGGAACGCAACUGACGCUCAGAUGCGAAAGCGUGGGUAGCAAACAGGAUUAGAUACCCUGGUAGUCCACGCCCUAAACGAUGGAUGCUAGUUGUUGGGGAGCCAGUCUCUUCAGUAAUGCAGCUAACGCAUUAAGCAUCCCGCCUGGGGAGUACGGUCGCAAGAUUAAAACUCAAAGGAAUAGACGGGGACCCGCACAAGCGGUGGAGCAUGUGGUUUAAUUUGAAGAUACGCGAAGAACCUUACCUGGGCUUGACAUCGUAAGAACUUUGUAGAGAUACAUUGGUGCUAGCUUGCUAGAACUUAGUGACAGGUGCUGCACGGCUGUCGUCAGCUCGUGUCGUGAGAUGUUGGGUUAAGUCCCGCAACGAGCGCAACCCCCGUCGUUAGUUGCUAACGGUUUGGCCGAGAACUCUAAGGAGACUGCCUUCGUAAGGAGGAGGAAGGUGGGGACGACGUCAAGUCAUCAUGGCCCUUAUGCCCAGGGCAACACACGUGCUACAAUGGGGUGUUCAGAGAGAAGCAAUACUGCGAAGUGGAGCAAAUCUCUAAAGCAUCUCU